rnacentral:lncRNA from 1 species
CCGUGUCAACCUAUUGCCUGAAAGCAAAGUUUCCUACCACCCACAGGAUUGGGGAGAUCCACAGAGAUCAAAAUCUAGUGCGGCACUGUUAUCAUAUCUCAUUGCGAGGAGCCAAAACUGUGGAGACCUACCCUAUCGUGGGACUGGAUAUGCACAAUGAGCUGGCAGAGACUCGGGGUGAAAUGGUCGAGGACCUUAUCCCUAUUCCUC